rnacentral:lncRNA from 1 species
AUGGGAAAGCACAUGUACAUCCAGUCGGGACUCAUGCAUUUCCCAACAGAGAGAGAGAGGGAGAGUUACAGCAAACUGGUGCGAUACUACUCUAUGAUCAAUUUUACAGAUGUGAUGAAGUACCGAGGAUCAAGGAGGCAAUUGCAAAUUGCACAGAAGCCUAAACUAUGGUUUGGAGGAAUUCUUGGAGGAUGCUGGAAGGAUUGUAAAGCAAUAAAUUAUUCCUCCAAGCUCUACUCUGAAACAAGAGCACCAAGGAAUUACCAUCCUGACCCUAUGCCUCCACCCCAGCACAGGCAGGGCCUAGGGUGUGGUGGAGAUGCCCACUUACCUGUGUAGAAGAAGGUUCUCUGAAAUGCUCCUUAAUUUGAAAGAUGGCGUCUCCUGGGAGGGGGGAGGGAAGUAAAAAAUAAAAAUAAUAAUAAUAAAAAAAAGAUGAUAUGC